ensembl:lncRNA
CCCUUCUGUGUCACAUUCGGUCAAAUACAUCUUUAAUAAAAAGACUGAAAAUGAGUUUUUAAUCCAAGAGACUCCUGGAAACUUUGGAAGUUAAUUUGUAGUUGAGAAAACAAACAAACAGAUCAGGUUUGGGCUUGUCUGACUCUGCUGCCAGCUGACCUUGAAAUUCAGUGUGGGUUGCUUACCUGCUCCGAGCCCUCCUUUUCUCAUCUUUGAAAUGGAGAUGAUUGUAUCUGCUUCAAAACAGCUAAGACAGAAAUAGCACAAUAUGAGGAAAGGUCAGAGACCCUCCCUCUUGCUUGUAGACUCCGGUGAUGGUGGAAGAAUUGUGGCGGAUCUUCACGUGGGCAUCUGUGAAAGAGAUAAUAAGAAAGAUGAAGAUGAAGAUCAGCCCAAUAGAAGCUUCCCUUUUGUUCAUAAACGUACUUCCUCUUGGGAGCAUCUCCGACAUCCGCAAGCAAAUAGCACUUUGCAAGACGAGCUGGAAAGAGAAACUAGGCCCCAGCUGCAUGGAGCGUCUAGGAGCUGAGCCAGCAGUUCAGACCUGACGCCGUGGGCUGGGAGGUGCUCGGAGAACCGCUGGCCCCAGGGUAAACCUCUCCAGGGAAAGCGUCUGGACCACCUUCCACAUCCGCCAAUUUCAUUCCUGCUCUGAGCACCAGCGGGUCCUUCACACACGAGCUGCUCAGCCCGUGUCCAGUGGAAUUUAUGAAACCUUCCCCAUCCGAACCCCUUGUCCCCAACCUUGGCUCAUGCCUGUUUCCUCCCUUGGCUCUUGGGGAACCUCGGCUCGGCUCUACCAGGAAGCCUCAACUCUCUCUGAAACGGUCAUUAACUAGAGUGGAUGCAACGUUCUAACACCCGUACUCAAUUAUGUUAAAUUAUACAUCCCCACAAAAUCUCUCCCUCACUGCAUUAUUUAAGGAGAAAGAGCUAAAUAAAG